rnacentral:rRNA from 1 species
UACAGAGGUCCCCAAGCGUUGUUCGGAUUCACUGGGCGUAAAGGGUGCGUAGGCGGCUUUGCAAGUCUGAUGUGAAAUCUCCAGGCCCAACUUGGAAAUGGCAUUAGAAACUGUGAGGCUGGAGGCUUGGAGGGGGAACUGGAAUGCUCGGUGUAGCAGUGAAAUGCGUAGAGAUCGAGCGGAACACCAGUGGCGAAGGCGAGUUCCUGGACAAGACCUGACGCUGAGGCACGAAAGCCA